UAGAAACAGCGCUGUUAAACUGUAAAUUGCUUUAUUGCACUGCUCAACACAUCAAUUGAGUCUUUUUCUGUUCAUAAAUAAAUAAAUAAAUAAAUAACAAAAAUAAUUCGGAGACGAUUUGUCGUUGGAAACGUUCUACAAAGUACCAACUGUGAAUAACAAGUGUAUGUAAUUGAUAAAUUAAAUAGCGUAGCUCUUACUAAAUAAAAGCUAGGAUAACAGGGUAACGAUGUAACUAAUGACUAUUUUGCAACUGUUCGCUUUAUCGGUGAAAUGAGAGUAAUGUCUUGUUUCACUGUCAUUGUAAAUCGUGGAGUUUUUAAACGUUGCUAAAUACCUACACAGCCUUACUUCACACAAUAUUACAGAAGGCUUAUUUAAAUAAAGGAAAAUUAAUAUACAUUUAUG
rnacentral:misc_RNA from 1 species